UACGUAGGGUGCGAGCGUUAAUCGGAAUUACUGGGCGUAAAGCGUGCGCAGGCGGUCUCGCAAGUCCGAUGUGAAAUCCCCGGGCUCAACCUGGGAACUGCGUUGGAAACUACGAGGCUGGAGUGCGGCAGAGGGGGAUGGAAUUCCGCGUGUAGCAGUGAAAUGCGUAGAUAUGCGGAGGAACACCGAUGGCGAAGGCAAUCCCCUGGGCCUGCACUGACGCUCAUGCACGAAAGCGUGGGGAGCAAACAGG
rnacentral:rRNA from 1 species